ACUCACUCUAGAGGAAGCUAAAAGCCAUAUCAAGGGGACGCUGAAGCAGCCUGCGGAGAGGCUCAAAUGAAGAGGAACCGAGGCCUCCCACUACUAACCAGCACCAACUUGCCAGCCAGAGUAAGAAGGAGUCCACAAGCCGAGGCUGGACCAACUGCUGAAAGUCAGAGUCCUGGAGGCCUUCGGGGCAGACCCCAGCCAAUCUACGCAGAGCAGCCUGGGGAGAAGACAGAAGAAGUGACACAUGUCACACUGGGCCAUGUCAGAUCCCUAAAGUAACCUUAGAACAGCAAGAACUAUUCAUUCAUCCAUAAAUUCAGCAAGGUCCUAUAGAAAGCACUAUGGAAAAAAGAAGAAAAGAGAGGGAGAACAUAUUGUAAAAGUAGAUAGGGAUUCUGCUACUGAGAAAUUCAACAUCUGGCCAGGGGGAUGAACAGGAAAGAGAGGUGCUGGCAGAAUAAAAUCACUCCCCAGCUCCCCACACAAUGAGCAAUGAGUAUGCUAUUUCUGUUUUAUGUCCAUGUGUCCUUGCUCAUAUUCUUAAUCUGCAGUCCAAUGCUCUACCUCUGAGCUAUACCCCCUCCUCCUUGCUCAUACUCUUACUUGUGACUUGAAGUGACUUCCUGCUCUUGUCUAUUGUCACCUCCCCCAUGAAGCCUUCCCCAAUUAUCCUGAAGCAGAGACAGUCCAUCCCUCCCUCCCCUGUGCAACCAGGGCCCCUGGGCUGACCUCAAGCUUCUCACACUUGACUGUAACUAGCUUUUAGGUAUUUAUCUCCCACAUUAGACUCUGAGCUCCUCGAGAGUAAGGAUCUUGUUUUCUAUUUCUCUGUAUCUAUAGCAGACAACACAGAGGUUGGCACAGGACUCAAUAAAUGUUGGCUG